rnacentral:rRNA from 1 species
GAUGAACGCUAGCUACAGGCUUAACACAUGCAAGUCGAGGGGCAGCACAAGGCAGCAAUGCUGAGGUGGCGACCGGCGCACGGGUGCGUAACGCGUAUCCAACCUUCCCGUUACUCUUGGAUAGCCUUCCGAAAGGGAGAUUAAUACAAGAUGGUGUUGAAAUUCCGCAUGUUAUUUCAACUAAAGAUUUAUCGGUAACGGAUGGGGAUGCGUUCCAUUAGCUUGUUGGCGGGGUAACGGCCCACCAAGGCUUCGAUGGAUAGGGGUUCUGAGAGGAAGGUCCCCCACACUGGUACUGAGACACGGACCAGACUCCUACGGGAGGCAGCAGUGAGGAAUAUUGGUCAAUGGGCGGAAGCCUGAACCAGCCAAGUAGCGUGAAGGAUUACAGCCCCUACGGGUUUUAAACUCUUUUAUAUAAGAGUAAUGUGCACUACGUGUAGUGUAUUGCAAGUAUUAUAUGAAUAAGCAUCGGCUAACUCCGUG